rnacentral:rRNA from 1 species
UACGAGGGGGGCGAGCGUUGUUCGGAAUUAUUGGGCGUAAAGGGUGCGUAGGCGGUUUGGUAAGUCUUAUGUGAAAUCUACAGGCUCAACUUGUAGUCUGCAUGAGAAACUGCCGGGCUUGAGUGUGGGAGAGGUGAGUGGAAUUCCUGGUGUAGCGGUGAAAUGCGUAGAUAUCAGGAGGAACACCUGUGGCGAAAGCGGCUCACUGGACCAUAACUGACGCCGAUGCACGAAAGCUAGGGGAGCAAACCGG